GGGCCACUGGCGGGUGGGCAGGUUGCCUGGGGCGGCCGUCCCCCCAAAGGUAACGGCGGCGUUCAACGGUUCUGCCCGUACGGUCGGAAAUCGUACGUAGGGUGUAAAGGCAAAAGAGGGCUUGAUUGCAAGACAUACAGGUCGAGCAAGGAUGAAAAUCGGACUUAGUGAUCCGGUGGUUCUGCGUGGAAGGGCCAUCGCUCAACGGAUAAAAGCUACCCUGGGGAUAACAGGCUUAUCUCCCCCAAGAGUCCACAUCGACGGGGAGGUUUGGCACCUCGAUGUCGGCUCAUCACAUCCUGGGGCUGUAGUAG
rnacentral:rRNA from 1 species